rnacentral:rRNA from 1 species
AUACGUAGGGUGCAAGCGUUAAUCGGAAUUACUGGGCGUAAAGCGUGCGCAGGCGGUUUUGCAAGACAGAGGUGAAAUCCCCGGGCUCAACCUGGGAACUGCCUUUGUGACUGCAAGGCUAGAGUACGGCAGAGGGGGAUGGAAUUCCGCGGGUAGCAGGGAAAUGCGUAGAUAUGCGGAGGAACACCGAUGGCGAAGGCAAUCCCCUGGGCCUGUACUGACGCUCAUGCACGAAAGCGUGGGGAGCAAACAGGAUUAGAUACCCUGGUAGUCCACGCCCUAAACGAUGUCAACUGGUUGUUGGGUCUUCAUUGACUCAGUAACGAAGCUAACGCGUGAAGUUGACCGCCUGGGGAGUACGGCCGCAAGGUUGAAACUCAAAUGAAUUGACGGGG